rnacentral:rRNA from 1 species
AUGCACGCUGGCGGCGUGUCUAAUACAUGCAAGUCGAGCGAACAGACGAGGAGCUUGCUCCUCUGACGUUAGCGGCGGACGGGUGAGUAACACGUGGAUAACCUACCUAUAAGACUGGGAUAACUUUGGGAAACCGGAGCUAAUACCGGAUAAUAUAUUGAACCGCAUGGUUCAAUAGUGAAAGACGGUUUUGCUGUCACUUAUAGAUGGAUCCGCGCCGCAUUAGCUAGUUGGUAAGGUAACGGCUUACCAAGGCGACGAUGCGUAGCCGACCUGAGAGGGUGAUCGGCCACACUGGAACUGAGACACGGUCCAGACUCCUACGGGAGGCAGCAGUAGGGAAUCUUCCGCAAUGGGCGAAAGCCUGACGGAGCAACGCCGCGUGAGUGAUGAAGGUCUUCGGAUCGUAAAACUCUGUUAUUAGGGAAGAACAAAUGUGUAAGUAACUAUGCACGUCUUGACGGUACCUAAUCAGAAAGCCACGGCUAACUACGU